UACAGAGGGUGCCAGCGUUAUUCGGAUUUACUGGGCGUAAAGUGCGCGUAGGCGGUUUAAUAAGUUCGAUGUGAAAGCCCUGGACUCAAUUCAGGAAGUGCAUUGAAUACUGCUAGACUAGAGUAUAGGAGAGGUGAGCGGAAUUCCUGGUGUAGAGGUGAAAUUCGUAGAUAUCAGGAGGAACAACAGUGGCGAAGGCGGCUCACGGGACUAUAACUGACGAUGAGGCGCGAAAGCGUGGGGAGCAAACAGG
rnacentral:rRNA from 1 species